GACGUAGGGGGCUAGCGUUGUCCGGAAUCAUUGGGCGUAAAGAGCGUGUAGGCGGUCCGGUAAGUCCGCUGUGAAAGUCGGGGGCUCAACCCUCGAAUGCCGGUGGAUACUGUCGGGCUAGAGUGCGGAAGAGGCGAGUGGAAUUCCUGGUGUAGCGGUGAAAUGCGCAGAUAUCAGGAGGAACACCUAUUGCGAAGGCAGCUCGCUGGGACGUAACUGACGCUGAGACGCGAAAGCGUGGGGAGCAAACAGG
rnacentral:rRNA from 1 species